UACGUAGGGGGCGAGCGUUGUCCGGAUUUAUUGGGCGUAAAGAGCGUGUAGGCGGUUCGGUAAGUCUGUCGUGAAAUCCUGAGGCUCAACCUCGGACGUGCGAUGGAUACUGCCGGGCUAGAGGAUGGUAGAGGCGAGUGGAAUUCCUGGUGUAGCGGUGAAAUGCGCAGAUAUCAGGAAGAACACCCGUGGCGAAGGCGGCUCUCUGGGACGGUACUGACGCUGAGACGCGAAAGCGUGGGGAGCGAACAGG
rnacentral:rRNA from 1 species